rnacentral:rRNA from 1 species
UACGGAAGGCAGCAGUGGGGAAUAUUGCACAAUGGGCGAAAGCCUGAUGCAGCUAUGCCGCGUGUAUGAAGAAGGCCUUAGGGUUGUAAAGUACUUUCAUCGGGGAGGAAAAAACAAAACUAAUAAUUUUAUUUCUUGACGUUACCCGAAAAAGAAGCACCGGCUAACUCCGUGCCAGCAGCCGCGGUAAUACGGAGGGUGCUAGCGUUAAUCAGAAUUACUGGGCGUAAAGAGCACGUAGGUGAUUUUUUUAAGUCAGAUGUGAAAUCCCUGGGCUUAACCUAGGAACUGCAUUUUGAAACUGAAAUACUAGAGUAUCGUAGAGGGAGGUAGAAUUCUAGGUGUAGCGGUGAAAUGCGUAGAUAUCUGGAGGAAUACCUGUGGCGAAAGCGGCCUCCUAAACGAAUACUGACACUGAGGUGCGAAAGCGUGGGGAGCAAACAGGGAUUAGAUACC